rnacentral:misc_RNA from 1 species
AAGUCGUAACAAGGUUUCCGUAGGUGAACCUGCGGAAGGAUCAUUACAAAAAAAAAGGAUACAUUGGCAAAGACAAAAAAGUCACAUUGUGGGCACCCAUUGAAAUGUGGGCUUUGGGGAGGAACGGUGAGAGGGCGGGGAGGGAUUUAUUUUCUUCCCCAUCUUCUCUCUCCCCAGGGUUUUUCAACCUUUUCAAAUUUACGCUUUUAAAAAUAAAAAUGUAUCUUAUUUUUUUUUUAAAAAAAAUAAAUAAAUACAACUUUCAACAACGGAUCUCUUGGCUCUC